rnacentral:rRNA from 1 species
AUUGAACGCUGGCGGCAGGCCUAACACAUGCAAGUCGAGCGAGCGGCGGACGGUUGCGUAAUGUCUGGGAAACUGCCUGUAGGCGGGCGAUCACUACUGGCAACGGCUGCUAAUCCGGCAUACCAUCAGCUUUCGCCAGAUGGGAUUCGCUAGUCGGUGGGGUAACGGGUCACCUAGGCGAUGAUCCCUAGCUGGUCUUCGAGGAUGACCAGCCACACUGGAACUGAGACACGGUCCAGACUCCUACGGGAGGCAGCAGUGGGGAAUAUUGCACAAUGGGCGCAAGUCUGACGGAGCCACACCGCGUGUAUGAAGAAGGCCUUCGGGUUGUAAAAUACUGUCGGCGGAGAAGCGUUACCCGCAGAGGAAGCCCCGGCUAACUCCGUGCCAGCAGCCGCGGUAAUAC